rnacentral:misc_RNA from 1 species
UACGUUUAAGGGAUUAGAGGGUAGUCCUUAUAAUGCUAUUUGUAAGUUUGUAUUUUAUCUUCUUCAUGCACUAGUACUGUUAAAAAUCAUAUGCCCUCAAACAAAGAUCAUAUUCUUUAUUUGCUACCAUCUCUCAUUCCAGAUCGUGAGAUUCAAUCCCUAAAAUUUUGAGCUUUUCACAAAUUUCUUCCUUAAUUCUGUCACAUCUUGCUUUCAUUUAAUUGAUUAUCAUCCUUUUGCCUGCGUAAUCUACUUAAGCUCUUUAUCUGAG